GCUCCGGGUGGCCCUAUCGCGGCUGCCAAAGUGCAGAUGAGGAAAGUCCGGACAACGCAGAGCGCCACGCCACCUAACGGGUGGGCUCCGGCAUAGCCGGGGACAGAUAGUGCCACAGAAAGCUAUACCGCCCCCUCAGGGGGGUAAGGGUGAAAACGUGCGGUAAGAGCGCACGCCCGGGCCUGGCAACAGGUUUGGGGGGUAAACCUCGUGGGUUGAAAUGCCAUGUACAUCCUGGCCGGGCAAGCCCGGCUGAGUUGCUCGCUCAGUUCGCUCCGGCGGCGCCGGGAGGGGUAGGCAGAUAGAUCCACUCUGUGAAGGGUGGGCUAGAUAAAUGAUAGGGGCUGCCGGUUGGUCCGGCAGCACAGAAUCCGGCUUAUAAGCCCGGAGCGGUU
rnacentral:RNase_P_RNA from 1 species